rnacentral:rRNA from 1 species
CUCUACGGCCAUAUCACCCUGAACGCACCCAUUCUCGUCUGAUCUCGGAAGCUAAGCAGGGUCGGGCCUGGUUAGUUCUCGGAUGGGAGAGA